rnacentral:misc_RNA from 1 species
UCUCCGUAGGUGAACCUGCGGAGGGAUCAUUACAGAGUUCAUGCCCUACCGGGUAGAUCUCCUACCCUAUGUUAUUAUUACUUUGUUGCUUUGGCGGGCCGUUAGGCUCCGGCCCGACUACCGGCCCCGGCUGGUAAGCGCCCGCCAGAGGACCCAAAACCCUGAAUAUUAGUGUCGUCUGAGUACUAUAUAAUAGUUAAAACUUUCAACAACGGAUCUCUUGGUUCUG